GGGAGCGCAGGCUCCUGGGCUGUGUCCCCCCGCGCCCUGGGCUCCGGGGCCUGCGCUGUUGGAAUUGCUCCCAGGGUGCAGCUCCC
rnacentral:pre_miRNA from 1 species